rnacentral:rRNA from 1 species
AUUGAACGCUGGCGGCAGGCCUAACACAUGCAAGUCGAGCGGAUGAAGGGAGCUUGCUCCUGGAUUCAGCGGCGGACGGGUGAGUAAUGCCUAGGAAUCUGCCUGGUAGUGGGGGAUAACGUCCGGAAACGGGCGCUAAUACCGCAUACGUCCUGAGGGAGAAAGUGGGGGAUCUUCGGACCUUACGCUAUCAGAUGAGCCUAGGCCGGAUUAGCUAGUUGGUGGGGUAAAGGCCUACCAAGGCGACGAUCCGUAACUGGUCUGAGAGGAUGAUCAGUCACACUGGAACUGAGACACGGUCCAGACUCCUACGGGAGGCAGCAGUGGGGAAUAUUGGACAAUGGGCGAAAGCCUGAUCCAGCCAUGCCGCGUGUGUGAAGAAGGUCUUCGGAUUGUAAAGCACUUUAAGUUGGGAGGAAGGGCAGUAAGUUAAUACCUUGCUGUUUUGACGUUACCAACAGAAUAAGCACCGGCUAACUUCGUG